rnacentral:misc_RNA from 1 species
AGAGUUAAACAGUAUGUGAAAUUGUUGAAAGGGAAACGAUUAAAGUCAGUCGUACUGACGAGGACUCAACCUUUUAAGAGUGGAUUAGUGGGUUCUGCUUGCGACAUCCGCGCUUUUCAGGUGCACUUUCUCGUAUUGUAGGUUAGCGUCGGUUUUGAUCGUUAUAAAAUGAUCGAAGGAAUGUGGCUUUGAUCUCGGUUGAAGUGUUAUAGCCUUUGGUAGAUGUAACGGUCGAGACUGAGGAUUGCAACGGAUACCCUCACGGGCUAUCCGCCUGGCCUCUGAUACGUCACUUUGGCGUCGAAAGCUUGCUUACGGCGUUAAAGCGUGCGGUCAACAGGUUAGAUCGGAUUAAAUUCGUUAAGGAUGCUGACGUAAUGGCUUUAAACGA